rnacentral:rRNA from 2 species
UAGGGAAUUUUCGGCAAUGGGGGGAACCCUGACCGAGCAAUGCCGCGUGAAGGAAGAAGGUUUUCGGAUUGUAAACUUCUGUUGUAUAGUAAGAACAGUAAAUGGAGUGGAAAGCCAUUUAUGUGACGGUACUAUACUAGAAAGCCACGGCUAACUACGUGCCAGCAGCCGCGGUAAUACGUAGGUGGCGAGCGUUAUCCGGAAUUAUUGGGCGUAAAGAGUGAGCAGGCGGUCAAUUAAGUCUAAGAUGAAAAGCUAUUGCUUAACGAUAGUUGGUUUUAGAAACUGAUAGACUAGAGUACGGAAGAGGUAAGCGGAAUUCCAUGUGUAGCGGUGAAAUGCGCAGAUAUAUGGAGGAACACCAGUGGCGAAGGCGGCUUACUAGACCGGGACUGACGCUGAGUCACGAAAGCGUGGGUAGCAAAUAGG